rnacentral:rRNA from 1 species
CCUACGGGUGGCAGCAGUGGGGAAUAUUGGGCAAUGGGCGCAAGCCUGACCCAGCAACGCCGCGUGAAGGAAGAAGGCUUUCGGGUUGUAAACUUCUUUUUGCACGGAAGAGUAGAAGACGGUACCUGACGAAUAAGCCACGGCUAACUACGUGCCAGCAGCCGCGGUAAUACGUAGGUGGCAAGCGUUGUCCGGAUUUACUGGGUGUAAAGGGCGUGUAGCCGGGUUGACAAGUCAGAUGUGAAAUCCUGCGGCUUAACCGGAGAACUGCAGUUGAAACUGGUGAUCUUGAGUACUGGAGAGGCAGAUGGAAUUCGUGGUGUAGCGGUGAAAUGCGUAGAUAUUAGGAGGAACACCAGUGGCGAAGGCGGUCUGCUGGACAGCAACUGACGGUGAGGCGCGAAAGCGUGGGGAGCAAACAGGAUUAGAUACCCCAGUAGUC